rnacentral:rRNA from 1 species
AUUGAACGCUAGCGGGAUGCUUUACACAUGCAAGUCGAACGAGUGGCGGACGGGUGAGUAAUGUAUCUGAACGUGCCCAGUGGAGGGGGAUAACUACUCGAAAGAGUGGCUACUACCGCACUCUUUUGGCGCGGCCGGUAUCGGAUUAGCUAGUUGGUGGGGUAAAGGCUCACCAAGGCCACGAUCCGUAGCUGGUUUGAGAGGACGACCAGCCACACUGGGACUGAGACACGGCCCAGACUCCUACGGGAGGCAGUAGUGGGGAAUUUUGGACAAUGGGGGAAACCCUGAUCCAGCCAUCCCGCGUGUAUGAGAAGGCCUUCGGGUUGUAAAGUACUUUUGGCAGAGAAGCGGUAUCUGCAGAAUAAGCACCGGCUAACUACGUGCCAGCAGCCGCGGUAAUAC